rnacentral:misc_RNA from 1 species
UACUUACACCUCGCUCCCCAUCAAAACUACACAAGCCAAGUGUAGAGCAGAUUUUCUUUGGUUGAUCCUUUGCUAACAGCAUUUUAAUUAUGGUUUCUCCGUAUUCUGCAACUACAGCCUUGCAUUCCUCACUUACAACCCCGGAAGCCCCAAUGGCAUGAUUAACUUGAGUAAUAAUAGUCGUUGGACCAGCCAACAACGAAGUUCCUGAAUCAGCAAUCGCGGAGCAACCACCUGAACAAAAUUCAGUUGUACUGCCAUUGAUCAGGACGUCGCCCAUAUCAAACUGCCAAUAUCCUUUUUUAGUAACUGGAACAUAUGUAUGCUCUCCCUUGUAGUGAUCAGGAUCCACACCACCAAACACAAUUUCACCACCUUGUUCCUCAUCCACAUUUCGAUUAAACCAAAAAGAGAAAACAGGUUCCUUUACAAGGUUUUGAUCAACCAUGUUGUACCAUACAGGCACUGCAUCUCCAACUGAGAUCUCUUUAAAGCCAAGUCCUAAUAUCCCAUCAAAUUGGGCAAGUACAAACGUGAGGCUGGG